rnacentral:rRNA from 1 species
AACGAACGCUGGCGGCAUGCCUAACACAUGCAAGUCGAACGAGACCUUCGGGUCUAGUGGCGCACGGGUGCGUAACGCGUGGGAACCUGCCCUUAGGUUCGGAAUAACUCCCCGAAAGGGGUGCUAAUACCGGAUAAUGUCUUCGGACCAAAGAUUUAUCGCCUUUGGCUGGGCCCGCGUUGGAUUAGCUUGUUGGUAGGGUAAAAGCCUACCAAGGCGACGAUCCAUGGCUGGUCUGAGCGGAUGCUCAGCCACACUGGGGCUAAGACACGGCCCAGACUCGUACGGAAGGCAGCAGUGGGGAAUAUUGGACAAUGGGCGAAAGCCUGACGCAGCAAUGCCGGGUGAGAGAUGAAGGCCUUAGGGUUGUAAAGCUCUUUUAGCCGGGAUGAUAAUGACAGUACCGGGAGAAUAAGCACCGGCUAACUACGUG